GACAUGUUUGGAGCACCUGUAUGGAAACUCUUGCUCAUUACAAAUGGCUGUUUCCGGGUAUUGUUGGAACCUAUAUAAGUUCCCACCUAAUAAAUAUUAAGCCUACAGGAUUCUUUUUCAAGUGAAGGAUAGAACAAUUUAUAGCAUUACACAUGAUAAUUUACAGUGGAAGAAUACUCUCUAGGGGUAAUUAUUAUAUUGAGUCGGAAGUUAGAGCUUCCAAAAGCUCUGCCCUUGACAUGCCUCUGAGAAGCGUUUCCCAUUCUACUGCUGCCAAAAUGAAGAUGAUUACACAUGGAAUGGCAGCGAUUAUAGGAAUUUCUUUCCUCCUUGACGUGAAUAAUGAAAUAUUCAGAACCUGUC